rnacentral:rRNA from 1 species
UUAAUAAAAGGAUACCUUCGGGUAUACCCCAUCCGUGUCUACAUACUCUUGUUGCUUUGGCAGGCCGUGGUCUCCCACUGUGGGCUCUGCCUGCAUGUGCCUGCCAGAGGACCAAACUCUGAAUGUUAGUGAUGUCUGAGUACUAUAUAAUAGUUAAAACUUUCAACAACGGAUCUCUUGGUUCUGGCAUCGAUGAAGAACGCAGCGAAAUGCGAUAAGUAAUGUGAAUUGCAGAAUUCAGUGAAUCAUCGAAUCUUUGAACGCACAUUGCACCCGGUGGUAUUCCGCCGGGUAUGCCUGUUCGAGCGUCAUUAUAACCACUCAAGCCUGUCUUGGUGUUGGGGAUUGCGAAUCUUGCAGCCCUAGAGUCCAGUAGCGUCACCUGUAGGUCCUAAGCGUAGUAAUUUCUCCUCGCUACAGAGCCUGCUGGUGGAUAGUGUAAAUCCAGUUAAGUCUGUGUGUCCUGCUAUUAAACCCCCAAAUUUUAAAGGUUGACCUCGGAUCAAGUAGGGAUACCCGCUGAACUUAAGCAUAUCAAUAAGCGGAGGAAAAGAAACCAACAGGGAUUACCUUAGUAACGGCGAGUGAAGCGGUAACUGCCUCAAAUUUGAAAGCUGCCAACAGGCCGCGUUGUAAUUUGUAGAAGAUGCUUUGGGUGUCGGCCCAGUCUAAGUUCCUUGGAACAGGACGUCAUAGAGGGUGAGAAUCCCGUAUGUGAUUGGUGCCGUCCCCCG